GGCGACGGCAGAUAUAGGUAAAAUCUUUACAGUCAUUUUUCUCAAAUGUAGCAUGUUUUUGUCAAAAGUUACUCAGCUGCAAGGUUUUUCUAUACCAUUACAUCAUAUUGGAAUCGUAACGGUGCACUGGAAUUUUCUAAGCACUUUGGAAUUGCCGUUGAAAAAUUCGGGAUGAUAAUCGUAACUCGGAAAAAAGAUAAUCGAAAUUAUGGUAUUAAAAAAUGAGAAGAUAAUCGUAACUGGAUAGUGUUUUAUUGAUAUUGACACUAAAAACGUAUAUAUGAUAGCACAUGAUGAAAUUAUGGUGAUGAAUUAAUCACGUUUCAACAUCUUAUGACAUUUAUUUUUGUGCAUAUAUUAUUAAUAGUUCUAAUAAAAACAGCUACAUACUAUUAUAUCAUACAAUUGGAAGGUUGACCGUUGAACAAGCUUCGAGAAUUUGGAAAUGCGUGGGAAAAACACGAACUAUGUUAAAAUACAGAAAACUCCAAGAACUAGGAAUGUCACAAAAUAUGGGAAUGAGCGAAGAGCCAAUUUUAAAGGAAGUUAUGAUAUAUGGCAAUAAUUGUCGGGCGAAACGCAUGUGUCACCCUACAUCAGAUUUGUGAUUAAGACCUUUAAAAACAUUGAUUUAUCCUGAAUAAAAACAGUAGUAAAUGUAGAAAAUAUUGUUUUAAACUCAAUUAUUGCAGGUGGCUUUAUGUGCUAUUUCUCCCCGGGAAGCCACUGCUUAUUCAAUUCUAGCCCAUACCCUAUUAUAUGCCAUAAUGAAGUAGAAAUAAGUUAAGUACUCGCCAGCGAUCGACAGUUUGACCCUAUUCUAUGUUGAUAACAUACUGAAAAUUACAUGAAACUAACCCUUGUUAUUUGUUUUGCACGAAAAUAAUUAAAAAAUACAAAAUCUCCAAUACUUGCAAACAUUAAGAAUGACUGUUGAAUAGGGCGUCUAGGGACAUGCUAUUUUGGUUAUUUUGAAUCAUUCAGGAAUCAAUAGCUUAUUAGUACCUCUAAAAAUAGUAUAUUUUUUUGCUUAAAAAUGUUAAAUUUAAUUCCAUGUACUGACUGCACAAAAACUCACUUGUAAAGAUCAAACACUUUUUUUUUUUAAAAGUGGCUGGGACAAGAAAUCACGGUUUUGUUAAAAACGCCCAUAAAUCGAGAUAUAUCAGUAAAUUUGUCUUAGAUAUUACCUGUAAGUUUCUUCACUUAUUUUUAUUUUCCGUUAAUGUCACCAAUUAACGUGACAUUUGCAUUUUAACACACAAAAUACCAUUGAA
rnacentral:lncRNA from 1 species